GGUGAAAACACACUUUAAAGCGUUCAUGUAGAUUCAAGGUCGGAGGGAGGUGACUGCAUUUUUCAAGACAGGCUGCAGAGCCCGUGUUCUGGUACUACGUGAAGGAGGUCCUCAACAAGCACGAGCUGCAGCGCUUCUACUCCCUGCGCCACAUCGCCUCAGACGUGGGCCGGGGCCGCGCCUGGCUGCGCUGUGCCCUCAACGAACACUCCCUGGAGCGCUACCUGCACAUGCUCCUGGCCGACCGCUGCAGGCUGAGCACUUUUUAUGAAGACUGGUCUUUUGUGAUGGAUGAAGAAAGGUCCAGUAUGCUUCCUACCAUGGCAGCAGGUCUGAACUCCAUACUCUUUGCGAUUAACAUCGACAACAAGGAUUUGAACGGGCAGAGUAAGUUUGCUCCCACCGUUUCAGACCUCUUAAAGGAGUCAACGCAGAACAUGACCUCCUUGCUGAAGGAGUCCACGCAAGGAGUGAGCAGCCUGUUCAGGGAGAUCACAGCCUCCUCUGCCGUCUCCAUCCUCAUCAAACCUGAACAGGAGACCGACCCCUUGCCUGUCGUGUCCAGAAAUGUCAGUGCUGAUGCCAAAAGCAAAAAGGAGCG
rnacentral:sRNA from 1 species